AGAGCGGCGGACGGGUGAGUAAUGCCUAGGAAUCUGCCUGGUAGUGGGGGAUAACGUUCGGAAACGGACGCUAAUACCGCAUACGUCCUACGGGAGAAAGCAGGGGACCUUCGGGCCUUGCGCUAUCAGAUGAGCCUAGGUCGGAUUAGCUAGUUGGUGAGGUAAUGGCUCACCAAGGCGACGAUCCGUAACUGGUCUGAGAGGAUGAUCAGUCACACUGGAACUGAGACACGGUCCAGACUCCUACGGGAGGCAGCAGUGGGGAAUAUUGGACAAUGGGCGAAAGCCUGAUCCAGCCAUGCCGCGUGUGUGAAGAAGGUCUUCGGAUUGUAAAGCACUUUAAGUUGGGAGGAAGGGUUGUAGAUUAAUACUCUGCAAUUUUGACGUUACCGACAGAAUAAGCACCGGCUAACUCUGUGCCAGCAGCCGCGGUAAUACAGAGGGUGCAAGCGUUAAUCGGAAUUACUGGGCGUAAAGCGCGCGUAGGUGGUUCGUUAAGUUGGAUGUGAAAGCCCCGGGCUCAACCUGGGAACUGCAUUCAAAACUGACGAGCUAGAGUAUGGUAGAGGGUGAGUGGAAUUUCCUGUGUAGCGGUGAAAUGCGUAUAUAUAGGAAGGAACACCAGUGGCGAUGGCGACCACCUGGACUGAUACUGACACUGACGUGCGAGAGCGU
rnacentral:rRNA from 1 species